GUGUUACUCCGGUAGCACUUAUACUAAAAUUGGAACGAUACAGAGAAGAUUAACACGGCCCCCUAACUGAGGUCGACACCACUGUCACUGUUCGGUUGUUUAU
ensembl:snRNA U6 U6 spliceosomal RNA